UGGGGAAUCUUGCACAAUGGGGGAAACCCUGAUGCAGCGACGCCGCGUGAACGAUGAAGCCCUUCGGGGUGUAAAGUUCUUUCGACAGGAACGAUAAUGACGGUACCUGGAGAAGAAGCUGCGGCUAACUACGUGCCAGCAGCCGCGGUAAUACGUAGGCAGCGAGCGUUGUUCGGAGUUACUGGGCGUAAAGAGUGCGUAGGCGGCGAGCCAAGUUUGGUGUGAAAUCUCCCGGCUUAACCGGGAGGGUGCGCCGAAAACUGGUUGGCUGGAGUAUGGGAGAGGAAAGCGGAAUUCCUGGUGUAGCGGUGAAAUGCGGAGAUAUCAGGAGGAACACCUGCGGUGUAGACAGCUUUCUGGACCAAAACUGACGCUGAGGCACGAAAGCGUGGGUAGCAAACA
rnacentral:rRNA from 1 species